UGUAAAGUUCUUUUACGAGGGAUAAUUAUGAUAGUACUUCGUGAAUAAGUGACAGCAAACUAUGUGCCAGCAGCUGCGGUAAUACAUAGGUCGCGAGCAUUAUUCGGAUUUAUUGGGCGUAAAGCAAGCGCAGGCGGAUGUGUAAGUUCUGUGUUAAAUGCAGCUACUCAAUAGUUGUAUGCACCGAAUACUACAUGUCUAGAUUGUGGUAGGGAGUUUCGGAAUUAAGCAUGGAGCGGUGGAAUGUGUAGAUAUGCUUAAGAACACCAGAGGCGAAGGCGGAAACUUAGGCCAUAAAUGACGCUUAGGCUUGAAAGUGUGGGGAGCAAAUGGGAUUAGAUACCCCAGUAGUCCACACCGUAAACGAUGGGUAUUAGAUAUUAGGGCUUUAGCUUUAGUGUUGUAGCUUACGCGUUAAAUACCCCGCCUGGGUAGUACAUAUGCAAAUAUGAAACUCAAAGGAAUUGACGGGGACCUGAACAAGUGGUGGAGCAUGUUGCUUAAUUCGAUAAUACACGAAAA
rnacentral:rRNA from 1 species